rnacentral:rRNA from 1 species
GGCCGAAAGGCGUAGUCGAUGGGAAACAGGUUAAUAUUCCUGUACUUGGUGUUACUGCGAAGGGGGGACGGAGAAGGCUAUGUUGGCCGGGCGACGGUUGUCCCGGUUUAAGCGUGUAGGCUGGUUUUCCAGGCAAAUCCGGAAAACCAAGGCUGAGGCGUGAUGACGAGGCACUACGGUGCUGAAGCGACAAAUGCCCUGCUUCCAGGAAAAGCCUCUAAGCAUCAGGUAACAUCAAAUCGUACCCCAAACCGACACAGGUGGUCAGGUAGAGAAUACCAAGGCGCUUGAGAGAACUCGGGUGAAGGAACUAGGCAAAAUGGUGCCGUAACUUCGGGAGAAGGCACGCUGAUAUGUAGGUGAAGCGACUUGCUCGUGGAGCUGAAAUCAGUCGAAGAUACCAGCUGGCUGCAACUGUUUAUUAAAAACACAGCACUGUGCAAACACGAAAGUGGACGUAUACGGUGUGACGCCUGCCCGGUGCCGGAAGGUUAAUUGAUGGGGUUAGCGGUAACGCGAAGCUCUUGAUCGAAGCCCCGGUAAACGGCGGCCGUAACUAUAACGGUCCUAAGGUAGCGAAAUUCCUUGUCGGGUAAGUUCCGACCUGCACGAAUGGCGUAAUGAUGGCCAGGCUGUCUCCACCCGAGACUCAGUGAAAUUGAACUCGCUGUGAAGAUGCAGUGUACCCGCGGCAAGACGGAAAGACCCCGUGAACCUUUACUAUAGCUUGACACUGAACAUUGAGCCUUGAUGUGUAGGAUAGGUGGGAGGCUUUGAAGUGUGGACGCCAGUCUGCAUGGAGCCGACCUUGAAAUACCACCCUUUAAUGUUUGAUGUUCUAACGUUGGCCCGUAAUCCGGGUUGCGGACAGUGUCUGGUGGGUAGUUUGACUGGGGCGGUCUCCUCCUAAAGAGUAACGGAGGAGCACGAAGGUUGGCUAAUCCUGGUCGGACAUCAGGAGGUUAGUGCAAUGGCAUAAGCCAGCUUGACUGCGAGCGUGACGGCGCGAGCAGGUGCGAAAGCAGGUCAUAGUGAUCCGGUGGUUCUGAAUGGAAGGGCCAUCGCUCAACGGAUAAAAGGUACUCCGGGGAUAACAGGCUGAUACCGCCCAAGAGUUCAUAUCGACGGCGGUGUUUGGCACCUCGAUGUCGGCUCAUCACAUCCUGGGGCUGAAGUAGGUCCCAAGGGUAUGGCUGUUCGCCAUUUAAAGUGGUACGCGAGCUGGGUUUAGAACGUCGUGAGACAGUUCGGUCCCUAUCUGCCGUGGGCGCUGGAGAACUGAGGGGGGCUGCUCCUAGUACGAGAGGACCGGAGUGGACGCAUCACUGGUGUUCGGGUUGUCAUGCCAAUGGCACUGCCCGGUAGCUAAAUGCGGAAGAGAUAAGUGCUGAAAGCAUCUAAGCACGAAACUUGCCCCGAGAUGAGUUCUCCCUGAGACUUAGAGUCUCCUGAAGGAACGUUGAAGACGACGACGUUGAUAGGCCGGGUGUGUAAGCGCAGCGAUGCGUUGAGCUAACCGGUACUAAUGAACCGUGAGGCUUAACCUU